CACGAAUAAGUGCUUCAAGCGACAAUAAGCUGAAUUUGACCCAUGCAUCCGAAAAGGUUCACCAUCACUGCCCUAGGACUUAUAUUGAGACUAGAGCAACUUAGUAGUGAAUCCUUCCAUUUCCUGGAUGUGCAGGUUGAGACAGAAGCAGGAGAAUGUGACAUCUGUAUACAGAAAGCCCUCAUAUGCCUCUGUUAUUAUCCCUGCCUGGUCCCAAGAUCCAAUGAUGUACAAGUUAGCCGCUUUCAGAGCCAUGAUUUCUAGGGCAUAUACCCAUAUAACUAAAUGGAAUGACAGAGAGCAAGAAUUGAAAUAUAUCUUAACACAAGGCUCUAAACAUGGGUAUAAGGUUCCAAUAAUAGAUGGUCUAAUGAAGAAGAUUAGGAACACUAUGGAAGGGUGGUAAGCAUUGCGCUCUACACAACAGUGGAUGAAUAACUCACCUCCUGU
rnacentral:lncRNA from 1 species